rnacentral:rRNA from 1 species
UGGGGACCUACCUCUUAGUGGGGGAUAACGGUUGGAAACGACCGCUAAUACCGCAUACGCCCUUCGGGGGAAAGAUUUAUCGCUAAGAGAUGGACCCGCGUUGGAUUAGAUAGUUGGUGAGGUAACGGCUCACCAAGUCAGCGAUCCAUAGCUGGUUUGAGAGGAUGAUCAGCCACACUGGGACUGAGACACGGCCCAGACUCCUACGGGAGGCAGCAGUGGGGAAUAUUGGACAAUGGGGGCAACCCUGAUCCAGCCAUGCCGCGUGAGUGAAGAAGGCCUUCGGGUUGUAAAGCUCUUUCAGAUGCGAAGAUGAUGACGGUAACAUCAGAAGAAGCCCCGGCUAAUUUCGUGCCAGCAGCCGCGGUAAUACGAAAGGGGCUAGCGUUGUUCGGAUUUACUGGGCGUAAAGGGCACGCAGGCGGUCUUGCC